rnacentral:rRNA from 1 species
GACGAACGCUGGCGGCGUGCUUAACACAUGCAAGUCGAACGGAAAGGCCCUGCUUUUGUGGGGUGCUCGAGUGGCGAACGGGUGAGUAACACGUGAGUAACCUGCCCUUGACUUUGGGAUAACUUCAGGAAACUGGGGCUAAUACCGGAUAGGAGCUCCUGCUGCAUGGUGGGGGGUGGAAAGUUUCGGCGGUUGGGGAUGGACUCGCGGCUUAUCAGCUUGUUGGUGGGGUAGUGGCUUACCAAGGCUUUGACGGGUAGCCGGCCUGAGAGGGUGACCGGCCACAUUGGGACUGAGAUACGGCCCAGACUCCUACGGGAGGCAGCAGUGGGGAAUAUUGCACAAUGGGCGGAAGCCUGAUGCAGCAACGCCGCGUGCGGGAUGACGGCCUUCGGGUUGUAAACCGCUUUCGCCUGUGACGAGGCGUGAGUGACGGUAAUGGGUAAAGAAGCACCGGCUAACUACGUG